rnacentral:rRNA from 1 species
CCUACGGGAGGCAGCAGUAGGGAAUUUUCCACAAUGGGCGAAAGCCUGAUGGAGCAAUACCGCGUGCAGGAUGAAGGCCUUCGGGUCGUAAACUGCUUUUAUGUGCGAAGAAUUUGACGGUAACACAUGAAUAAGGAUCGGCUAACUACGUGCCAGCAGCCGCGGUCAUACGUAGGAUCCAAGCGUUAUCCGGAAUUACUGGGCGUAAAGAGUUGCGUAGGUGGCAUUAUAAGUGGAGCGUGAAAGCGUGCGGCUCAACCGCAUUAUUGCGUUCCAAACUGUGAAGCUUGAGUAUGGGAGAGGUAGAUGGAAUUUCUAGUGUAGGAGUGAAAUCCGUAGAUAUUAGAAGGAACACCGAUGGCGUAGGCAGUCUACUGGCCCAUUACUGACACUAAGGCACGAAAGCGUGGGGAGCAAACGGGAUUAGAUACCCCGGUAGUCCACGCUGUAAACUAUGGAUGCUAGCUGUGACACACAUCGACCUGUGUCGUAGCGAAGUUAACGCGUUAAGCAUCCCGCCUGGGGGAGGUACGGUCGCGAGAAGUUAAACGUUAAAGUUAAAGUUAGUACGCGUUGAGAGNGCGACGGACGACGACGAGGGAGGAGG